UACGGAGGGUGCGAGCGUUAAUCGGAAUUACUGGGCGUAAAGGGUGCGUAGGUGGUCUGAUAAGUUAGCUGUGAAAGUCCUGGGCUUAACCUAGGGAGGUCAGCUAAGACUGUUAGACUUGAGUCUAGGAGAGGGUAGUGGAAUUUCCGGUGUAGCGGUGAAAUGCGUAGAGAUCGGAAGGAACACCAGUGGCGAAGGCGGCUACCUGGCCUAAGACUGACACUGAGGCACGAAAGCGUGGGGAGCAAACAGG
rnacentral:rRNA from 1 species